rnacentral:rRNA from 1 species
UACAGAGGUCCCAAGCGUUGUUCGGAUUCAUUGGGCGUAAAGGGUGCGUAGGCGGCGCGGUAAGUCAGGUGUGAAAUCUCGGGGCCUAACUCCGAAACUGCAUUCGAUACUGCCGUGCUUGAGGACUGGAGAGGAGACUGGAAUUUACGGUGUAGCGGUGAAAUGCGUAGAUAUCGUAAGGAAGACCAGUGGCGAAGGCGGGUCUCUGGACAGUUCCUGACGCUGAGGCACGAAGGUCAGGGGAGCAAACGGG